UACAGAGGUCUCAAGCGUUGUUCGGAUUUAUUGGGCGUAAAGGGCGCGUAGGCGGCGGGGUAAGUCGGGUGUGAAAUCUCAGGGCUCAACCCUGAAACUGCACUUGAUACUGCUCUGCUUGAGGACUGGAGAGGAGACUGGAAUUCACGGUGUAGCAGUGAAAUGCGUAGAUAUCGUGAGGAAGACCAGUGGCGAAGGCGGGUCUCUGGACAGUUCCUGACGCUGAGGGCGCGAAGGCCAG
rnacentral:rRNA from 1 species